UACGUAGGGGGCUAGCGUUGCUCGGAAUUACUGGGCGUAAAGCGCACGUAGGCGGGUCGAUAAGUCGGGGGUGAAAUCCUGGAGCUCAACUCCAGAACUGCCUUCGAAACUGUCGAUCUUGAGUUCGGGAGAGGUGAGUGGAACUGCGAGUGUAGAGGUGAAAUUCGUAGAUAUUCGCAAGAACACCAGUGGCGAAGGCGGCUCACUGGCCCGAUACUGACGCUGAGGUGCGAAAGCGUGGGAGCAAACAGGG
rnacentral:rRNA from 1 species